GAAGGAGGCGUGGCCAAACGAGGGGGCGGGGCCGAAGGAGGCGUGUGCGACAGGUGGAGAGGGACUGGCAAACCUCAGCGCUCAGGCCCGAGGGUCGCAGAAGAAGCGUAAAUUGAAAGAUUAUUCAAAUAGCACUGGGCAACAGAAUGGGUUCAAGCCCCGCGACAAGGUGAUCUUCCUGCUCCUGCAAUGAACAGGGACCUGCUGAUUGAGAGGGAAUCCAUUUCGCGUUUGUGGGAAGAUCAGAAGUGUAUUUCUUGGAGUCCAGAGCACCAUUCCAGGGGGAAGGGCUUCAGGAGGACAGUACCUGUUGGCCUUACACGGCUAAUUCCGUGGAUGAAAGGAAGAUAUAAAGGUUCCAAGUCCAAGACUCACCAGCAUGGCCACUAUACCUGUUUAUUCUCCAUUUUGUUCAGCAAUUAAAUUUGUGACCUGGCUCUAUUGCAUCCAUAUUCCAAGUAGGAAGCCAAACAGAAGGAAAAAUCACUUGCCUAAAGCCUCAUCCCAUGAUGACAUCAGCCUUCUAGUCAGUGUCCAGCAUGCCAUCAUUUAAAUCUGGUCCAGGUGAGGGUGAGGAUUUUUGAACAUUGUUCCUCUGGAAUGACUCCUUGAAAACUGUUCCUUUUAACUGAAAGACUUGUGAACUUCAGCAAUAAA